GAAGGAGCUCACCUCCCCACAAAUUGUAUAAACCUUAGUUUCCACAAAACCUGGAUCUUCCCUGGCAUCAUCAUUUAUUAUGAGGAGCUAAUCAGGAGCAAGUUCAUUGUUAUUCUAUGUCUGCUCUCCAAUCCCUGGCCAAGAAAUUCUCUUUCUGGAGAGGGUGAGCCCGCAAAUCCCUGACUCAGGAGGACUUGGGUGAGAUGUCACAGUGCAAACAGAGGUAAAGGUGGAGUUGGCUCUAUCUGAAACACAGACUGAAGAAGAGAAGAGUGGUUUCCCCAGAGGAAAAGAAGAAAAGUGGGGUUCCACAAGCAGAUGAGAAAACAGAAGAGCAGCAGAGUGGUGCAACAGAGAAGGAGAGAAGAGAAGGAGCAUCUGAACAUCAAGAGGAGUUCAGCUGGGGACAGUUGGUUGGGAGAUCAGCUACAGGACAGCCAAACUCCAGGGGAAGAUGAUCUUCCCACUCCAUCCCCUUUCUGGCUCCUCAUCCAUUCUGCUGAGAGCCACCUCCAGCUCUCAAUAAAACCCCCACAUUCACCAGCCUUCAAGUCUGUGUGUGAUCUGAUUCUUCCUGGAUGCUGGAAAAGGACCUGGG
rnacentral:lncRNA from 10 species